rfam:Ovis aries breed Texel chromosome 17, whole genome shotgun sequence.
UCCCUGAUAGCUCAGCUGGUAAAGAAUCCACCUGCAAUGUGGGAGAACUGGGUUCAAUUCCUGGGUUGGGAA